GUGGAUAUGGCCAAGCGGUAAGGCGCCAGAUUGUGGCUCUGGAGAUCGUGGGUUCAAAUCCCAUUAUCCACCCCA
rnacentral:tRNA from 1 species